AGCUUUCUUCAUGGUGCCCUGCCAAGAUCACCACAGCUUUCGUGAGCGCCUCACUCAGCCGAGGAGAAUGUUAUCGCGUUAGAGAGCGUCGCCGUGUUGUGCGUUCCGGAGAGUGUCGCUACGUUGUGCAUAAGUGCAUUCUAGAGAGCGUCACUGUAUUCUAGAGAGCGUCGCUGUCUUCCUGGUUUCAUAGAGCAUUGCCGUCUUUCUCGUUCUUCAUAAACGUCGUCAGCUUCUCCUUUUCGUCUUUAUCUCCAUCAAGAGACGUCAUUUUGAACAAGUACAAGUGGCUGUUCUGAUCAUUCAUCAUUCUUAAUUGAAGGCUGUGGCUUUGGAUUCAGAUGACGCAGAUGAUGCAGAACCUUAGAGUAUAUUUCAUAAAGCUGUUGGGAUUGCAAAUUCUAUUUAAGAAGUUUGCAAUAAGUUGAUUGCUAUUUUCAUCGAUAUUGUCCAAAAGAAAAUGCACAUGAAAUUUUGCAAGAGUACAUCCAUAAAAGAAGCCUCAGACUCUAAUAAUGAACACAUCCUGAUAUCCAUUUUGGAUUCCAAAUGUUCUUGAGUUGGUGGAGUCGGUUCUAAGACCCCCACCGAAUGGACUUCCUUCCCUCCUUGACGCGAGUCAUACGUUUCAGUUCUUGAGAAGAGAAGCAUGUUGUUAGGGUUUAUAGAUUCAAUUUCAAUCAACGCCAUUUUCUCAUCUUCCUCUGCUGUAUCUCUGGUUCGCCUAUUCUCGCCGCCGCAACACGCAUCAGACGCCGCCGCUCCCUGCGUCCGCCGCCGCCGCGCAGGACUCUGCUAAACGCUUGGAGAAUCUACCAAGUGAGUUGGCUUCUGCAGUGCCCCAGACCAUCACUGUCACCCCAGAAGAGAAUGAGGCUAUUCAAAGGCUUCAAGAUAUGGGAUUUGAUAGAGAUCUUGUGUUGGAGGUAUUCUUUGCAUGCAACAAAAACGAGGACCUGGCAGCCAACUGUCUUUUGGAUCACCAGAAUGAAUUUGAAGACUAAGAAGAUGGUUCUGUUUCAUCUUCACCAGCUAUGCUUCUUUGAUGUCGUUGCUUAUCAUCUGAACUCUUUGGAGAAGUGGCAAUGUCAAUACUUAUUUGCUUAGCUUUAUUAUUGAUCCUUGUGAACCAUACUGCCUGUAAAUUAUUAAUUUCAGACCAUUGACUGGAAAAUAUAGAUGCCAAGAAAUCGAUAGGUGCUUUUAUU